ACGAACGCUGGCGGCGUGCUUAACACAUGCCAGUCGAACGGAAAGGCCCUGCUUUUGUGGGGUGCUCGAGUGGCGAACGGGUGAGUAACACGUGAGUAACCUGCCCUUGACUUUGGGAUAACUUCAGGAAACUGGGGCUAAUACCGGAUAGGAGCUCCUGCUGCAUGGUGGGGGUUGGAAAGUUUCGGCGGUUGGGGAUGGACUCGCGGCUUAUCAGCUUGUUGGUGGGGUAGUGGCUUACCAAGGCUUUGACGGGUAGCCGGCCUGAGAGGGUGACCGGCCACAUUGGGACUGAGAUACGGCCCAGACUCCUACGGGAGGCAGCAGUGGGGAAUAUUGCACAAUGGGCGGAAGCCUGAUGCAGCAACGCCGCGUGCGGGAUGACGGCCUUCGGGUUGUAAACCGCUUUCGCCUGUGAUGAAGCGUGAGUGACGGUAAUGGGUAAAGAAGCACCGGCUAACUACGUG
rnacentral:rRNA from 1 species